rnacentral:rRNA from 1 species
AGAGUUUGAUCCUGGCUCAGGACGAACGCUGGCGGCGUGCCUAACACAUGCAAGUCGAGCGGAGACAGUGAGUAGCUUGCUAUGAGCUGUUUUAGCGGCGGACGGGUGAGUAACGCGUGAGCAACCUUUCCCAGACAGGGGAAUAACACACCGAAAGGUGUACUAAUACCGCAUAAGACCACGGGAUCACAUGGUUCUGAGGUAAAAGAUUUAUCGGUUUGGGGUGGGCUCGCGUCCGAUUAGGUAGUUGGUGAGGUAACGGCCCACCAAGCCGACGAUCGGUAGCCGACCUGAGAGGGUGAUCGGCCACAUUGGGACUGAGACACGGCCCAAACUCCUACGGGAGGCAGCAGUGGGGAAUAUUGGGCAAUGGAGGAAACUCUGACCCAGCAACGCCGCGUGGAGGAAGAAGGUUUUCGGAUCGUAAACUCCUGUCCUUGGAGACGAGUAGAAGACGGUAUCCAAGGAGGAAGCCCCGGCUAACUACGUGCCAGCAGCCGCGGUAAUACGUAGGGGGCAAGCGUUGUCCGGAAUGAUUGGGCGUAAAGGGCGCGUAGGCGGCUCGGUAAGUCUGGAGUGAAAGUCCUGCUUUUAAGGUGGGAAUUGCUUUGGAUACUGUCGGGCUUGAGUGCAGGAGAGGUUAGUGGAAUUCCCAGUGUAGCGGUGAAAUGCGUAGAGAUUGGGAGGAACACCAGUGGCGAAGGCGACUAACUGGACUGUAACUGACGCUGAGGCGCGAAAGUGUGGGGAGCAAACAGGAUUAGAUACCCUGGUAGUCCACACUGUAAACGAUGAAUGCUAGGUGUAGGGGGUAUCGACCCCUUCUGUGCCGCAGUCAACACAAUAAGCAUUCCGCCUGGGGAGUACGGCCGCAAGGUUGAAACUCAAAGGAAUUGACGGGGGCCCGCACAAGCAGCGGAGCAUGUGGUUUAAUUCGACGCAACGCGAAGAACCUUACCAGGUCUUGACAUCCACUUAAACUUACAGAGAUGUAAGGUGUGCUUGCACAAAGUGAGACAGGUGGUGCAUGGUUGUCGUCAGCUCGUGUCGUGAGAUGUUGGGUUAAGUCCCGCAACGAGCGCAACCCUUAUUGCCAGUUACUACGUUAAGAGGACUCUGGCGAGACUGCCGUUGACAAAACGGAGGAAGGUGGGGAUGACGUCAAAUCAUCAUGCCCUUUAUGACCUGGGCUACACACGUACUACAAUGGCGUUAAACAAAGAGAAGCAAGACCGCGAGGUGGAGCAAAACUCAAAAACAACGUCUCAGUUCAGAUUGCAGGCUGCAACUCGCCUGCAUGAAGUCGGAAUUGCUAGUAAUCGCGGAUCAGCAUGCCGCGGUGAAUACGUUCCCGGGCCUUGUACACACCGCCCGUCACACCAUGGGAGUUGGGAGUGCCCAAAGCCGGUGAGGCAACCGCAAGGAGCCAGCCGUCUAAGGCAAGACCAAUGACUGGGGUGAAGUCGUAACAAGGUAGCCGUAUCGGAAGGUGCGGCUG